CCUCGGGGCUGGGGGGAGGGGUGGCGUAUACAUGUAAAAUAUGGUCAUCAUUGUUCGCUUCGCUCCUUUUCUUUCCGAGGAAUCCCAGUGUACUGUACCGAUGUAACGAACUGAUAGGCACACACCAUGUAUAGGGAUGACUUCAUCCCCGUCGUGUGCAGCAGCAAGAGUGGAAGAAGAGAAACGCAGCUCGGGAAACCGCUUUCUGUCGUCAUUAGCAAAAAGGGAAUUCCGGCCGCAACAGGGGGAUAAAGGAUCGUUAACAAAAUCUUAUUUGAAUGCUCCAAAUUGCUCUCGGUGGGUCCACAAGGUCUUAAAAGAAAAGUAUCUGUCCAUGUUCAAGUUCAAGUUUCUAUGGUGGAAAGCACCCCUCUCAGGCCAUCAGGUUGGUGGCAAAGCUAAGUAUGAAGAAGAAGCUCCUCCCCUCAUCCACCAGCUCUUAGGAAUCAGCUCCUGCUCAGUUACCCUUGGCAGAGUUCUCAGUAAGGGACCAUUGUCGGUAUAUCAUGACUAAGGAGCCAGGCAGAAGUUGGGAUGAAACCCAUGUUUCUCUCCAACUGGAAAAAGACACUGAAGUGAUUCUUCAGAAGAGUUCAAGAAGGCCAUUUCUCUCCAAAGAGGGAAGAAGGAAUGAAGCAGAGAUUCCUGGAGGUCUCACAGCAAUAUUUUGGAUCUUGGCCUCCAGACUUACUAGGCAACAGUCCAG
rnacentral:lncRNA from 1 species